AUUGAACGCUGGCGGCAUGCUUUACACAUGCAAGUCGAACGGCAGCGCGGGCUUCGGCCUGGCGGCGAGUGGCGAACGGGUGAGUAAUACAUCGGAACGUGCCCAGUAGUGGGGGAUAGCUCGGCGAAAGCCGGAUUAAUACCGCAUACGACCUGCGGGUGAAAGCGGGGGAUCUUCGGACCUCGCGCUAUUGGAGCGGCCGAUGGCGGAUUAGCUAGUUGGUGGGGUAAAGGCCUACCAAGGCGACGAUCUGUAGCUGGUCUGAGAGGACGACCAGCCACACUGGGACUGAGACACGGCCCAGACUCCUACGGGAGGCAGCAGUGGGGAAUUUUGGACAAUGGGCGAAAGCCUGAUCCAGCAAUGCCGCGUGUGUGAUGAAGGCCUUCGGGUUGUAAAGCACUUUUGGCGGGAACGAAAAGGACUGUGCCAAUACCACGGUUCGAUGACGGUACCCGCAGAAUAAGCACCGGCUAACUACGUG
rnacentral:rRNA from 1 species